UCACUGCAUCUGUUGGAGGUUUUCUAUGUUUGUCCAUCUAAAAUCAUUCACUGAUCCUUCACAACUGAUUCAUUUAGAAAUGUUUCCUUCAUUUCAAAAGUUCAAAUUGAACACAUCUGUUUUGAAUUUUUUCUUUCCAAACAUCUAAAAACCUUUUUAGAAGUAAAACCUGUUUGCUAAACCCAUUCUCACUCCCAGGUCAUCACAUAUUGAUGCUUUUCCAGUGUUUCUUUAUUUGUGUAUGCAAAUAUGUUUUAAUCAACUAUUAUUUGACAAGGUGAUAUGUUUUUCUGUUUUAUUUUUCAAUUUAACCAAAACAAUAACUAUUAUCUAGUUCACUAUGUUUUACUAUGAAAUAUAUAUGGUCAUUUGUGCUUAAGUUUAAACAAAAUAUCUUAAGUUUUAUGUUGGUUCACUAAAGCUUAGUUCAUACUUCAUUUAGUUCACUUGUCAAGGUUCUAACUUGUUCUGCAGAUGCUGUUUUUACAGACCCAAGGCAGUGUACUAGACGACUGAAAUCUCUUAGACUAAACCUUUCUAAGUCAAUCUGUUACUAACAAAYUCCGAGGUCAUGUCUGCUAGAACUCUCUCUUGUAGUUACUAACAACGGACGCGCCUCUCUCCCGUCAGACACCAUUUUUGUUCCAAAUGAAAAGGAGCUGGUUUUUCCUCCUCAGGGAAGCCAGCGUUCGGUGAUGAGAUCCCGGCUCAUUUUGCCAAAGAGUCGAUCUUAUCCCAGGUUCACAACACCACCAGUCGUGAACCAAACUAACAGCUUUACGACUCCAAGGAGUUUUGUUUCAAAACUUCUGUGAGAAGUUUUUGUUUUUGAGCUGAGAAACCAGUCGGCAGUGACUCUCCGUUCGAACGAGCUGAAGGACCACUAGAUGCUGAGAUAAUCAAACCCCUUGAAGUCUGACUGCUUGGACAGUUAAGUGUUUCUGAACUGACCUCUUGCUGACCCGGGUGAGACCUCGUCCAUGCCUAACCUGAAUUUGAAGUCUUCAAAGGACAAACACACACAGGUUCUGAGGUCCUCCAGGGAUACAGGAAUACCCUCCUUCUCCAGGCCCUCAGAAGCUCGCUCUGUGGGAGAAAAAGAGGUUUGAGAGUAUGUAGUUUACUUCUACAAUCUCAAGGUGGUGAAUCCAGUCAGACAAAUAGUGUGGACAAUUCCGCCUAGCUGUACUAUCAGCUUCUCCAAGAUC